UACUGAUCAACUAACGAUAAAAUGUUGAGAACAUGUUGUAGGCUUCACAAAGAAAAAAAAAAAAUUGAAUAAUGGUGAAUUAUUUUCUACAACAUAUAUUAAUAUUAUCAUUUGAACAGUUCAUAAGAGGAGAACCCCGCAAUGAAAUUUGAUUUUAAAAUGCGGGGUACGUUCAUACCGGAAUGAAAUUUUGAAAAAAUUUGAACGCGUAUUUUUAGUAACC